GACAGACUAAUGAAGCAAAUGCAUCCAAGUCCAGUUUGAUGAAACCAGCUUAGGUUGACUCACGGGACAGGAGCAUUGGUGACCCAAAGACAGAUACAUCAUCUAAAAAUCCUACCUCAGCCUGGGUGACAACCCAAGAACACCACACCCCUGGACCUUCCGGACCAAGUGGCGGACAGUUCAUUACACACGGUCCAUGAGCAACUGUUUUCAAUUUUAAUACUCUUUGGGGGAGGAGACUUGUGAAUCUGCUCGCCCAGCACAUCCUGACGAGGACUGAGGCAUCGAGAGGAAGCGGAAGCAUUCAGAAUGGCAAACCAUGGAGUCUCCGUGAUCCACUGUGCCUCGGGCCACAGUCAGGCCUUCCAAAACUCAGCAAGAAAGCUCGCCCUCGGAGGACAACAUGCUCCCCUGUCAGGGGGUAAGAAGAGCUGAGAGUCCACCGGGGUUUGUGGCAGGAUUUCCACCCGUCAAUGAGGAGACAGAGGGGGCAUCACACUGUAGUCCAGGCCAGCUUGAACUCACUCUGUAGCCAGACUGAGCUUGAACUCAAGACCUCUGCCUCCUGAGUGCUGGGAUUAUAGGCAUGAACUUUCAUGCUGGCUCACAGGUAUUUAUUUUAAGAAGCAAGUUUUUUUGACAACUCCAAAGUCUGUGUCAGGGUCCAGUUUGAGAUAACUCAGCCUGGGAUGCAUCCUGACAGAGACAAGGAAUUGACUGAAUCCGUGAAUGAUCACAGCUCCAUGGCAGGUCACAGUCAUCUCUCAGGGAAACUCAAGCUCCUUCGCAUGGCAUUCAAGGCCUUUUAUACUUUGAUUCUAACUUUCUGAUCCCCCUUAUUGUCCCUAGUAGUCAGGAGCCGUGCUGCACAGCCAUGCCAAGCGUUGGCUCUGGAGGGCAUACCAAGCAUGUCCUCUUCCUUCUGUGUGGUCCUCCACGUACAGCUCAGACAUCAUCUCUGCUGUGAUGUGCCCCAGAAACCUCUGGAUAUGAAAGAGAAGCACAGAGGAAUGAAUGGAGCCUGGGAGUUUGUCAGGCCUGAGUUCAAAUCCCAAUUCCAUGGUGCAUAGGGAACUGUGUACCCUCCACCUCCUGCCUUUACUGAGACCGUGAUGACCGCCUCAGUGGGUUAAAUAAAACCUGCAGCUCUCCUAGGCCAGCGUUUCUUUUUUUUUUCCAAGUUAAAAAAAAUUAUUUUUACUUUUAUUGAUUCUUUGCAGACUUCACGUCAUACGUUCUGACCCCACUUCUCUUCCUGUCCCCUGCAUCUGCUCUCUGCCCUUGUAACCUCCCCCCAAAACAAAACCAAGUUUAAAAGAAAAACCAAAAACAAGACAACAAAAGCAAACAAACAGACAAAAGGAAAAAAGAAGGAAAAGAAGAAUCUUAUCACGGAAGCUUAGUGUGGCCCGUUGAGACACACAGUGUUCACCCUUUAGUCUGUUGCAUCUUUACUUGCAAGUGUUCAUUGCCACAAGUCAUUGGUCUGGUUUCUGCUACAGCACCAAGAAUGAUAGUGGGCGCUCACUGAGCUCCUCGUGGAUAUCCCGCUGUUGUCCUGCAUCAUGGAGAUCCUGCUGCUUUAGAUCUGUAGGUUUGUCCCCUCACAUACUCCAACAGUUCAUAGAUGGGUGGGCCAACUCACAGCCCUGGUUCUGGGUUCCUGGUAGCUCGGCUGGUCAGCUCGCUAGCUUUCCCUCAUCCUCAGUACUCAGACGAACUCUCCAGCACUGCAGGGCUAGCUCACCCAAUUCAGCCUACAGUAAGGAGCAGGGCCAGUGCUCCUGUGCUCAGGCCCUCUGAUUCGGGUCCCCCUCACUCAUAUCGCCAGAGCCAGCUCUACUGUGUGCCCAGGUGAGGUGCAGGGCCCUCUCUCCUGAUUGCUGUAGAGAGCAUACGGGGGGAGGGGAGUGAUAGAGAUGCCCUGAGCAUCUUGCUGAAGAACGGAGUCUAAAUCAGCAGACCUGGGGUGGGACCUUUGCAGUCCUAACAGGUUCCCAGGUGGUACGGCUGGCUGCUGGAAAUCCAUGGCCCAUGCACCAGGGCCUUAGUCCAAGGUAAGCGCUCAGUGACAUUUACAUCUAACCCCCGUCCUUCUUCCUUCCUCUUGGCACCGACCCAUGCAUACAAUGCCCAUUACUUCACUUUCAGCGAGUUGCUGUGUUGGUGUCUCCCACUAGACUGUACUGAGUACAGAAAGCACAUUAUCUCCCUUUCAGUGUUCCUGGGGCCCAGGAGAGGGCCGGGCAUACGCGUGGGGAUUAAUAAGUGUUUGUUGAACUAAGCUUUAUGAAAUGCAAAUAGAAAUAUCAACUCUGCCUGUGUAGACGAGUUGCAGGGAUGGAUAAAUGUGAUCAUUCGAGAGGGAACGCAGAAGUAUGUAUCAUCUGGUGCGGGUAUGGACGAUUUUAUCUCUCACCUCUCCACUCUGCAGCGGCUCCGAUUUAUGCAGCAGUAGCGUGUUUACUUGUGGCUAUGGCCCAGGCUCUGGUGAUUAUAAAACAAAGCACCCACCACCCAAAACCCGGAUUCAUCUAUAGUUUAAAAAUAAACUACAUC